rnacentral:lncRNA from 1 species
UUCAUUUGAACCCGUUUGGAUUAGCGUGACCUGGAUGGCUGACAGCUUCACCAGCAUGCAGCAAAGCUGUUGCUGAUGAUUUUAGAGUUCUCAUUAGUGGUGUCAGGAUUUAAAUUCAGGUCAAGUUUUCUGUUCCUUCAGAGUUUGCGUCUAGAUGAGGUUAAACAUCCUAAAAUCUGUUGCUUUUUGUGCUUUUCUGACCUAAUUAGCAUUAUCUUCGCCUUAAACUUUUAAAAAGUCAAUUUACUUCUGUUGAAACAAAAUUAGAAAAAAAUGCAUAUUUUGUUUUACGUAAAAAGAAAUAUUUGACAUGUUGUGAACUUUAAAUUAGUUCAGAACCAAUAACAACAGAAUUUCCGCUUCAGCAGCUUCAUUAAACAUUUUUCCUGCAGAAGAAACUGAAUCCAUUCGAGAUUUUUUCUUCUGAGCCCAGAACUCCUCCUGCUCCUCCAAAACUAGCGACAAGCAUCAGCUAUAAAUCCUGCUACUGCCAGUGACGGACAGACGUGGAUGAGAUCCUGAAAAACAUCUGGUGCUUUGCCACAGUUUACUCUUGCUGGAGAGGAGGUCUUUCAGUGUCUCAGACCUGCAGCGAGAGACAAGAGGACAACUGAAGACACCCGGUCAUCUUGUGGCUGACCAUAACCAGUGUUUAUCCUCCUGCCUCUGGUCCUUACAGCACCGUGCUGGCCCUGCUGGACCUCUGUCCAACACUGUGCUUGGCAGAGGCAGCACACAACAAAACGAGAAAGGGAAAUACCUUGGCUGGCCGUGUCAGAGUAAUUCACCAGUUUCAGGAUCCUGCUGGUUUCUGCUGGCCCUUCCAGGAAUUCUUCUGGUGUCUGCCUGGUUUAUCUGGUUUCUGUUAGCCUGAAGUGGACUCUCCAUCAUCUUCAGAUGAUGGCUUGUGUCUGCUGCACCCACUUGGAUCCAGUUGUUUCUGUAUUUCCCAUCCUACACCUCAGACUUGUUGAGUUUCAGCACUAGCAGUAGAUCCCUACGGUCUUCUUCCCCGUUUCUUUGAACCAUUCCAAGAACAAGAUAUAAACACUAGGGCGACCGGGCUUUCUGAGCAGCAGCACCCCGACUGUGCAACCAGCUCCAUCUCUCACCCUGGCCUUAAUUCAGGAAAGCCUUUAAUGCACAGUGAUGUAGACUCAUAUUGGUGCUUUCAUCUGACUUGGCCUUCUCGUCUUAUUUGUGCGUACCUUUUUUCUGUAGAUUUUUGUUUUUAUGUGGCCUGUAAAGCACUUUAGCUGUCU